AUGCUUCAUGAGAAGGAAGACCAGUGUCAAGCAAACACCGUCAGUGGUAUAUGUUAUUCUGUAAUUGGCAUUCAUGGCGUCGCGGGGUCAGGGAAAUCAACACUUGCCCAGUUUGUUUAUGAUCAUGAGAAAAAGUGCAAGGAACAGAGAAUGGAAGGCCAUUUUGAUGUUGUAAUGUGGAUUCAUAUUUCUCAGACAUUCGAUCCAGAUUCGAUUUUCAGGGAGAUGAUGGAGGGGGCUACUGGGGAAGCUUGCCCAGAAUUCUCUAGUCUUAACGUCCUAAAGGAAAAACUGGAGGACGAACUGCGUGGGAAACGGACUUUGUUGGUGCUGGAUGAUGUCUGGUUCAACAUCAGGAAUUCAGGAGACAGUGAAGAACUGCAAAACUUAAUUUCUCCGGUGAAAGUUGGGAAGGCAGGAAGCAGAAUCUUGGUGACUAGUCGAACUAAAGCUGCAUUAGUAACCCUGGGUGCUAUAAAAGAGAGACGUAUUCCAAUAUCUGACCUGGGUGAUGAAGUGUUCCUUGAAAUGUUCAUGCAUCAUGCACUCCGAGAUGCAACGGUAAGUGACAAAGAUCGUAGAAUACUUGAAAUGAUUGGGAAGGACAUUGCAGAAAAGCUGAAGAAAUCACCUCUAGCAGCCAGAGCAGUGGGUUCACGGCUCCGUGAGAUACAAACUGUUGAGUUUUGGAGGAGUCAGAAAGAUCGGAACCUUAUGAACGACACGAUGGGAGCUCUAUGGUGGAGCUACCAUUAUCUAGAUGAGCAGGUCAGGCGAUGUUUCGCUUACUGCAGUAUUUUCCUCAGGAGAUACCGUUUGAACCGUGAUGAGUUAGUUAUGUUGUGGGUGGCAGAAGGGUUCAUAAAUAUUAGUAUGCCUGAAGAGGAAAUGGAAGAUGUUGCUCGGUUUUACUUUGAUGAAUUGCUAUCGGCCUCAUUUCUGCAAUUAGGAGGGAAACAAAAGGUAGAUGGAUGUGAGGUUGAUUACUUUACGAUUCAUGAUCUGCUGUAUGAUUUAGCAGAGGAGGUUGCCGGAAGAGAUUGCUUCAGGAUAGAGAAAGACUUCACAGGAGAAGUUCCUCCAGGUGUCCGCUAUCUUUUUGUUGGGACUUGUAAUAUGGAGAUGCAUACUGAGAAGAUAUCUGGAUUGCGAAAUUUACGCACUCUCAUCAUCAAUGACAAGAUAUAUGUUACAUCAAACCAUGACAAAGUCUUAUUAGUGCGUAUGUUCAAUAUGUUCAUGCGGCUGCAGAAAUUGCGAGUAUUAAAAUUAAGUUUUAGAAGAUGUGGUCUUCCCACGUUCUCAUUCCCAGAUUCUAUUGGUCAGUUGAAGCAUCUGCGUUAUUUUUCUUUUGUGGUGGGUGAUAAAUACCAAGCUAACUGUACCAAGCACUUUUACCAAGCUUUACCACAUGCAUGUGGUAGAUUUUGGUCUUUGCAAACAUUUGGCGUUUUCUAG
rnacentral:rRNA from 1 species